UCCUUCGUGGUGUAACAGUAGCACACUUGGUUCGAAUUUGAGAGUCCGGGUUCGAGUCCCGGCGAGGGAA
rnacentral:tRNA from 1 species